rnacentral:lncRNA from 1 species
AACUAGAAUUAAAAAGCUGUUUAAUGGCAGUGACAAAAACACGUACUGGCAACAUUAAAAAGCGUGACUGAUAUAAAGCACACAACAUGGAGAGAGAGAGAGAGAGAGAGAGAGAGAGAGAGAGAGAGAGAGAGAGAGAGAGAGAGAGAGCGCUACUGGUCACUGAGAAGCUAUCCCUCCUUAUCAUUUAUUUGAUUUCACCACAAAACAAACACAGGUCAGAUAUAGUGCCUCAUUGAAUCUACUUUACACAGAUAUUGGGAUUCUGCUCGUCUUCUAAGUUUCAUAUUAUAAUGUCUUACUCCCCUCCCCUCGUUGCAUUGUCAAUGAACUUCUAUAUUUCAAUAACGAAACUAAGAUCGGAAGUAAUACCAACGGCUCUGCACUGAAACUAAAGAAUCUUAGCAGCAAUAGUGGUUUUCUCUUCUGGGGAUAUAUAUGUACUAAGUUACUAAGUUUCAUCGAAUUACGAAAACCUUGAACAAAUCCAUAGGGAACGAAGACCUUUAUACUGAGAACUAAUUUAACUAAAGUAAUACGCAUUUUGUUUGCAACUGCCUUGUAAAAAAACGUGGAAGAUCAGUUAAGGAUGUAAUAUUGUAAUGAAAAUAGCUACAGCUGAGUUUCUUUGGCAACAAGGGGUAAUGCAAAAUAGCUAUAGCUGAGUUUCUUUGGCUACAAGGGGUAAUGCAACUUAGAUUAUGCAAGUAGUGAUUGAAAUUACAGUGCGUGACUUAGGAUGUAAACAACACACGGAGAACCAAAGCAAGUCUCACAUUCCGGCACUCAGGAACAUGACACCGGGUCUUUCCAGCCGAGACUCUUAGCUUCCACGGAAAAUUACUCAGAUAAUACGUAUAUAUCUCAACAAACACUACUACUAUAUACCACUAUUACUAUCACUACCAUACCACCACCACCAACAACAAGAACAACUACUACUACUACAACGACCACUACUAUCACGCUUCUUCGCAUCCAGAGACCUUUGAUAAGAAAUGACACUCCACCAUCAUGUUUGCCAAGCACCAACACUGACCACAAGCCCUGGUGCAUGUGGGUGUACCUCAUUGCGACUCACUAAUUGCUUUUCACCGGGUUCCAUGAUACUAAUUUCCAGGCCAAAAUUACAUGCAAUACUCAACAUGUUUACAGACCUGUCUCUUCCAUGACAAGCUCACCAGUGACGGCCAAUUUAACGACGUCACGAUGCUUUUUAUAGAAUUUGAAAGUAUAAUCCACAGAAUAUCUAAAUGUAAAUGUGGUCUCAAUAGUUUUUCCCACUAGAGUUCCCCUGAGACGGGAGUGAUGGUGGGUUGAUUUCAGUGUGAGGUUCCUUUUAACGAGUCGUGUGUUAUAACUUAAGUGAAACUGAAGGAAGUUGAAGGUGCUUGUUGUGAGGGUCGAAGUAAUAAUGUUGGUAAUAGUGACGGUGAUAAAUAAUAAUAAUAAGGCAUAAAAAGAAGAAGAAGAAGAAGAAGAAGAAGAAGAAGAAGAAGAAGAAGAAGAAGAAGGCAAGAGAUUAUACAUGUGUAAAACAAAACUGAGUAUCACACAUUUCUCAAUCUCGAAGACAAAAUACCGACAUAAUAUUGACAGAAAAUAACACGAACUGAGAAAGAAUAUAUUAAACCUCUCUCUCUCUCUCUAAACUAAUCUUCAUCCCUCGAAAAUCUUACUUAUCUGGACGAAACUGGAUUAUUCAUUUGUAAAUCAACUCUACGCGUUCAGUUUCCUUCAUACAUAUACAUUGUCUAGUAUAAUAUGAACGUUGCUAGGGUAAAAUGCGCGUUCCUUUACCGUAAUACGAUCUCUCUACCUCCUUAUUCCUCCUCUACCGGUUCAACUUUCAGUAAAUACAACAUAAACUAUACUCCUAUGUCUUCAUUAUGACAUGGCAACACCGUGUUUGUUAUCAGUCACUAACUCUACAGAGGAGAAAACAAAUGACAGUCACAACGUCAUGAAGUCUUCCCUCGUAGAAAGCACAACAAUGACAGUUCACUACAUCUCACUGCGUCUUCCUCUGCCGCAGUCAAAUGAGUCAGUACAAGCUAACUCUUCUCUUGUGGAAAUAGUGUGGCAGGAAUUACGAUCUGAAGCGAGAAGUAGGUAUAAGAAAGGUAAAGUUAUGUUAUCACUGUCAAUGUUAUAAGGAUUGCGCGGGAAAUUUAAACUUUAUCACUGUGGACCAAUGCAAGACUAGUUUCACACUACACUGCACUUUGAUCAUUGACUAACUAACGAAAAAAAACAUAAUAAAUUGUAAUGGAAGGACCAAUGCUAUUCAUGCUAUAUGCCUCAACACUACACGAAAAGCUACAAAAUAAAAACGAAUUAAGAUUGAACUAAUGAAAUAGAGAAAAGGUACAACAGAAGAAGCGAACUGUCGGCAACCUGUGAACCUGUGUCUACAAGCGUUCAUACCAUUUAAAUUCACUACACUACAGAAACUAAAAAUAUAAACUAACAGCAGCGUAGAAAAAAAAAAAAAAAAAGAACGAGGUGUAAUUUCUCUAUUAUUCACACACUCAUUUCAGUACGAUACACAGGCAAAAUUAUCACAAACCAGAUGCAGAAUAACAAUAAUAAAAACACGUGAAAAACAAAAGAAUACAUAAUCAGCAUCUGCCAUUGUACGUGGAGGAUGCGAGAAGGGAAAUGCAGUUCAUUUACCUCAAAGAAUAAACGUAUAGUAAAAGAGACACGCAUGUGGUUUGAGUCAACUGGUUAACGCCCCCACUCGGCAAGAUAACACGUUAGCAAGAGGCAACACACUUGUACACCACCACCACCACCACCAUCAUGAUAGCUAAUACACCUGCUCCAUCUCUCAACACCACAGCCAGGCGAGGUGAAUGUUCUUCGUCAGUUUGAUUAUGAAGCAAAACAUGUGUCUUUUCAUGCUGCCCAGGUUGCCUAAUCGGUCAGGCUGGCUUGAUAAGGGGUGAAGUGCAUCGGUGGUGUUAUCUGGAGGCAAUAAAGCACACGGCACGCGCACAAUACGCAUUACACACACACUCACACGAGGCACGCUGCGGUAUUAGAUGGAAGUAUUAGUUUCUGUUUAGCUUCCCUCAGAGAGAGAGAGAGAGAGAGAGAGAGAGAGAGAGAGAGAGAGAGAGAGAGAGAGAGAGAGAGAGAGAGAGAGAGAGAGAGAGAGAGAUAUUACUGCAUCUAUUUUAUCAUGCAGUACGAUACACUGUAAGCAUCCAGCGCACAACAUGCUACAACCACCACGACCACCGCCGCCGCCACCACAUCCCCAGGACUCAAGACGCCCCCAGCCUAGCGCCGCCGAAUGACUGAGGAGUGAGGCCCUUGGCGAGGGAGGUGCAGUGGAAGGCGGUGAUGAGGUACACACACCCUGCCCGAACCCCGCGCGAUCUUCACUGUGACUAGCUGCUGCCGCCACCUCUGCCGCCGCCGCCGCCGCCGCACUUGCCCCGUCAUCAACACCCCACUUGUUCUCACCACCACCACCACCACCCACCCGCCUGUGCUCUACUCCCGAGAUAAUGAAGCACAUCAACCAGCAUGUAACAUGCUAAUCCUGCCAUCUCCACACAAUAAGCGGUAAACAACUUCAUGAGAGACUAACAGUACCUGUCACUAUGGUCUUCAUCUACACUCGCCACUACUCUUUUUCCCCUUGGGACUGGAAAGAGUAAUGAGGGGAACUCGGCGAGGAGUUUUGCCUGACGGGGUCUUGGACGGAGAUGGAACCUUGGAUACUUUAGUGGGAGUUACAGAUUCUCCUUCAAACCUUUUCUUUACUUCCUCAUCUACGUCUGCUGCUUCUUCCUGAAAGAAAAAGAGAAUUUCAACUUAAUUCUUAUAAACAUCAAAAUAAAUUUAUGUGCUCUCAU